AUUGAACGCUGGCGGCAGGCCUAACACAUGCAAGUCGAGCGGAUGAGAGGAGCUUGCUUCUCGAUUCAGCGGCGGACGGGUGAGUAAUGCCUAGGAAUCUGCCUGGUAGUGGGGGACAACGUUUCGAAAGGAACGCUAAUACCGCAUACGUCCUACGAGAGAAAGCAGGGGACCUUCGGGCCUUGCGCUAUCAGAUGGGCCUAGGUCGGAUUAGCUAGUUGGUGAGGUAAUGGCUCACCAAGGCGACGAUCCGUAACUGGUCUGAGAGGAUGAUCAGUCACACUGGAACUGAGACACGGUCCAGACUCCUACGGGAGGCAGCAGUGGGGAAUAUUGGACAAUGGGCGAAAGCCUGAUCCAGCCAUGCCGCGUGUGUGAAGAAGGUCUUCGGAUUGUAAAGCACUUUAAGUUGGGAGGAAGGGUUGUAGAUUAAUACUCUGCAAUUUUGACGUUACCGACAGAAUAAGCACCGGCUAACUCUGUGCCAGCAGCCGCCGUAACAC
rnacentral:rRNA from 1 species